GCGCUGUCGAAGGAUAUAGACCUGAAUUCACAGUAC
rnacentral:ncRNA from 1 species